rnacentral:rRNA from 1 species
CACGUAGGGGGCAAGCGUUGUCCGGAUUUAUUGGGCGUAAAGAGCUCGUAGGCUGUUCGGUAAGUCGGGUGUGAAACCCCCAGGCUCAACCUGGGGACGCCACCUGAUACUGCUGUGACUCGAGUCCGGUAGGGGAGCGUGGAAUUCCUGGUGUAGCGGUGAAAUGCGCAGAUAUCAGGAGGAACACCGAUGGCGAAGGCAGCUUGCUGGGACGGUACUGACGCUGAGACGCGAAAGCGUGGGGAGCAAACAGG